rnacentral:rRNA from 1 species
AUACAGAGGGUGCGAGCGUUAAUCGGAAUUACUGGGCGUAAAGCGCGCGUAGGCGGCUUAUUAAGUCAGAUGUGAAAUCCCAGGGCUCAACCUUGGAACUGCAUCUGAUACUGGUAAGCUAGAGUUUAGGAGAGGGAAGUAGAAUUUCAGGUGUAGCGGUGAAAUGCAUAGAGAUCUGAAGGAAUACCAGUGGCGAAGGCGACUUCCUGGCCUAAAACUGACGCUGAGGUGCGAAAGCGUGGGUAGCAAACGGGAUUAGAAACCCUUGUAGUCC